AUUGAACGCUGGCGGCAGGCCUAACACAUGCAAGUCGAACGGUAGCACAGAGAGCUUGCUCUCGGGUGACGAGUGGCGGACGGGUGAGUAAUGUCUGGGAAACUGCCCGAUGGAGGGGGAUAACUACUGGAAACGGUAGCUAAUACCGCAUAACGUCGCAAGACCAAAGUGGGGGACCUUCGGGCCUCACACCAUCGGAUGUGCCCAGAUGGGAUUAGCUAGUAGGUGGGGUAAUGGCUCACCUAGGCGACGAUCCCUAGCUGGUCUGAGAGGAGGACCAGGCACACUGGAACGGAGACACGGUCCAGACUCCUACGGGAGGCAGCAGUGGGGAAUAUUGCACAAUGGGCGCAAGCCUGAUGCAGCCAUGCCGCGUGUAUGAAGAAGGCCUUCGGGUUGUAAAGUGCUUUAAGCGAGGAGGAGGCUACUGAGAUUAAUACUCUUGGAUAGUGGACGUUACUCGCAGAAUAAGCACCGGCUAACUCUGUGCCAGCCGCCGCGGUAA
rnacentral:rRNA from 1 species